UGGAGGCAGCAGUGGGGAAUUUUGGACAAUGGGGGCAACCCUGAUCCAGCCAUGCCGCGUGCGGGAAGAAGGCCUUCGGGUUGUAAACCGCUUUUAGCCGGAAAGAAAAGGCCACGGAUAACACCCGUGGUUCUUGACGGUACCGGCGGAAUAAGCACCGGCUAACUACGUGCCAGCAGCCGCGGUAAUACGUAGGGUGCGAGCGUUAAUCGGAAUUACUGGGCGUAAAGCGUGCGCAGGCGGUUCGUUGUGUCUGUGGUGAAAGCCCCGGGCUUAACCUGGGAAUGGCCAUGGAAACUAGCGAGCUGGAGUGUGGCAGAGGGGGGUGGAAUUCCGCGUGUAGCAGUGAAAUGCGUAGAGAUGCGGAGGAACACCGAUGGCGAAGGCAGCCCCCUGGGCUAACACUGACGCUCAGGCACGAAAGCGUGGGGAGCAAACAGGAUUAGAUACCCCGGUAGU
rnacentral:rRNA from 1 species